rnacentral:rRNA from 1 species
AUUGAACGCUGGCGGCAUGCCUUACACAUGCAAGUCGAACGGUAACGCGGGGCAACCUGGCGACGAGUGGCGAACGGGUGAGUAAUGCAUCGGAACGUGCCCAGUAGUGGGGGAUAGCCCGGCGAAAGCCGGAUUAAUACCGCAUACGACCUACGGGUGAAAGCGGGGGACCGUAAGGCCUCGCGCUAUUGGAGCGGCCGAUGUCAGAUUAGGUUGUUGGUGGGGUAAAAGCCUACCAAGCCGACGAUCUGUAGCUGGUCUGAGAGGACGACCAGCCACACUGGGUCUGAGACACGGCCCAGACUCCUGCGGGAGGCAGCAGUGGGGAAUUUUGGACAAUGGGGGCAACCCUGAUCCAGCCAUGCCGCGUGCGGGAAGAAGGCCUUCGGGUUGUAAACCGCUUUUGUCAGGGAAGAAACGCUCUGGGCUAAUACCCCGGGGUAAUGACGGUACCUGAAGAAUAAGCACCGGCUAACUACGUGCCAGCCGCCGCCGUAAUAC